rnacentral:lncRNA from 1 species
AUAUGAAGUUAGUUGCUAUCUAGAUGACUUGCCUUUGUUCUUCCCCUUGAUUAUAUCUUGUUGACAAUGAUUUAGCUUAGAUUUAACUCAUGAUACCAUGUUCAAUCUUAGGCUAUUGUAUAUUGUCAUUUAGCCAAUGUUACUUUUAUUUCUUUUCAACAAGUAACCCCCCGUCCUUGUCUAGUCGGAAAACACCUAUUCUGAAAAUAGCAUGUCGUUUAAUUUAGUCAUUGGUUUGGUAUUACUAUUCAAUAGUGCUAAUUCUCUCUGGAUAUUUUAUUUAUUUAUGUUGGUUUGUGCUAGUGUCCAGCAUAAUAGUUUGAGUCAUAAUUGUUCUUAUUUAUUUUUAUUUAUUUAACCAUUUCUAGUCUCUUUUCUCUCAUUUGCCUCUAAUGGUCUAGUAUACUACUGCCUCCAGUGGUCUAGUAUACUACUGCCUCCAAUGUUUGUGUUUAUUUUAUCGUGAUGAAUUAGCAUUGUUAGAUUGUAUUGGAAGAGCUAUUCUUACUAUAGCAUAAGUUAUUUGAGAUCAUAAUGAUUGGGCCAUUUUUUACUUGAUGUCUUUUCUUUAUAUUAAAUUAUCAAUGGAUAUACUUAUGUAUUUCUUUUGUUUUCUGAUGCAUGUGAUUUGUUGAUGAAUCCUUUGGGACUUAGGCCUUUACCCUCGCAUUACUAAGGGGCCAUUAAGGCCCGACGUCCUCUCUUCCUUGAGUCAACUAUCAUGGAAAAUUAGGGAAGCAGGCGCAUAGGUUGAAAAUCGAUGAAUACAGGCUGAAAACGGGAUUUUCAUGUUCCGGAAAUUCGAAAACAAACUGAAAUACAGCUUGUAUACAGAGGUAUACGUCAAUAUGCAUGAUGAAAUACAGUAUACAGGUGCAGAAAUAGGGAAAUACAGGUCAAAAAGACAGAAAUACAAAGUGCAAACAAAAUAUAGGUUUCGAAAAACCUAAAAAUAGGUUGGAUACGGCUCGUAUACAGUGGUAUACAUAAAACGUAUACACAGAUUUUCUAAAGGCUGACAGGCCCAAAGACCUUAAGCCAUUUCCAACAGGGCUAGGUGGCAGAGAAAAAAAAUGGGCCCAAAGUCCAUUUGAAAAUUCAGCAGAAUAGAGGAGAGUUUAAAUGGGCCCAAGUCCAUUAUUUGGACCAAAUUUAGACUUAGGACAGGUGGGCCAAAAGCCCAAUUUAAUUGGAUUUGGGCCAAAAUCCAACUCUAAUUAUUUCCUUUCCCUCUCUUAUUUAUUUUAUCGUAUUUGACUAACACUUUGAUUAUCUUAUGGUUCAAUUUAAUUAAAUUCCCAAGGAUGGUCAUUUCAUUUUAUUUUCAAAUUAAAGUACAUAUAUUUUAUUACUUGGUUCUUAUUUUAA